UGAAAGAAAGAUGAAGCUUUGGGAGAAAGAAAGAAAGCUUUGGAGACGAGAAAAGUUAGAGAGCUCAAGAACAUCAAAUCUUUCAUUUUUAAGGAAUUAGAGGUUCUCAGGUUGUAUGUUUGUUGGUGUUCGAGUUGUUGGUGAAAGCUCCGCUCUGAUUGUGACACGGGGAAGGGUUUAUCGAGUCUUGUACUUGUAUUCUUAUUUUAUUGUAAAUGUAUUAUUUAGAAAACAAUUUUUAUUAAGCGAUGUUUAUGCUAAUUAGCAAUGUUCUUGAAGUAUGUAAUACCUUAAACCACCAUUUUAUAUUUUAUCUCCGACUUCGAGUCGUUUUAAUUUUAUUA